CGGACGGGUGAGUAAUGUCUGGGAAACUGCCUGAUGGAGGGGGAUAACUACUGGAAACGGUAGCUAAUACCGCAUAACGUCGCAAGACCAAAGAGGGGGACCUUCGGGCCUCUUGCCAUCGGAUGUGCCCAGAUGGGAUUAGCUAGUAGGUGGGGUAAGGCUCACCUAGGCGACGAUCCCUAGCUGGUCUGAGAGGAUGACCAGCCACACUGGAACUGAGACACGGUCCAG
rnacentral:rRNA from 1 species